rnacentral:rRNA from 1 species
UACGAAGGGGGCUAGCGUUGCUCGGAAUUACUGGGCGUAAAGGGCGCGUAGGCGGGUGUUUAAGUCAGAGGUUAAAUCCCAGAGCUCAACUCUGGAACUGCCUUUGAUACUGGGCACCUAGAGUUCGGGAGAGGUGUGUGGAACUCCGAGUGUAGAGGUGAAAUUCGUAGAUAUUCGGAAGAACACCAGUGGCGAAGGCGACACACUGGCCCGAUACUGACGCUGAGGCGCGAAAGCGUGGGGAG